GUAGUCAUAUGCUUGUCUCAAAGAUUAAGCCAUGCAUGUCUAAGUAUAAGCAAUUAUACAGCGAAACUGCGAAUGGCUCAUUAUAUAAGUUAUCGUUUAUUUGAUAGUGCCUUACUACUUGGAUAACCGUGGUAAUUCUAGAGCUAAUACAUGCUAAAAAUCCCGACUUCGGAAGGGAUGUAUUUAUUAGAUUAAAAACCAAUGCCCUCUGGGCUCUUUGGUGAUUCAUGAUAACUUCUCGAAUCGCACGGCCUUGCGCCGGCGAUGGCUCAUUCAAAUUUCUUCCCUAUCAACUUUCGAUGUUUGGGUAGUGGCCAAACAUGGUUGCAACGGGUAACGGGGAAUG
rnacentral:rRNA from 1 species